rnacentral:rRNA from 1 species
GAUGAACGCUGGCGGCGUGCCUAAUACAUGCAAGUCGAGCGAACGGACGAGAAGCUUGCUUCUCUGAUGUUAGCGGCGGACGGGUGAGUAACACGUGGAUAACCUACCUAUAAGACUGGGAUAACUUCGGGAAACCGGAGCUAAUACCGGGUAAUAUUUUGAACCGCAUGGUUCAAAAGUGAAAGACGGUCUUGCUGUCACUUAUAGAUGGAUCCGCGCUGCAUUAGCUAGUUGGUAAGGUAACGGCUUACCAAGGCAACGAUGCAUAGCCGACCUGAGAGGGUGAUCGGCCACACUGGAACUGAGACACGGUCCAGACUCCUACGGGAGGCAGCAGUAGGGAAUCUUCCGCAAUGGGCGAAAGCCUGACGGAGCAACGCCGCGUGAGUGAUGAAGGUCCUCGGAUCGUAAAACUCUGUUAUUAGGGAAGAACAUAUGUGUAAGUAACUGUGCACAUCUUGACGGUACCUAAUCAGAAAGCCACGGCUAACUACGUG